CACGUGAGCAAUCUGCCCUUCACUUUGGGAUAACCUCCGGAAACGGUGGCUAAUACCGAAUAUGACCACUUCACGCAUGUGAUGGUGGUGGAAAGUUCUGGCGGUGGAGGAUGAGCUCGCGGCCUAUCAGCUUGUUGGUGAGGUAAUGGCUCACCAAGGCUUCGACGGGUAGCCGGCCUGAGAGGGUGACCGGCCACACUGGGACUGAGACACGGCCCAGACUCCUACGGGAGGCAGCAGUGGGGAAUAUUGGACAAUGGGCGAAAGCCUGAUCCAGCAACGCCGCGUGAGGGAUGACGG
rnacentral:rRNA from 1 species